CCUGGGGAACAGAAAAUGAACAUUACAGGAGCCAGACCUUUGGCCAGAUCCAGAUGGUGUCUCCAGCAGGGCAGCCCAGGAGUCAGCACGGAAGGAGCAGGAUGCGUGUCACCUGAGACUUCGAUGAGGGUGCGAGCCACAGCACUCGUGCGUAAGAACGGAGAGAAGCAGGUGCUGACAGGUGCAGAGGCUGCUCCUGCCCCCUGGGCUAAGUACAGUCACUGCCACUGUGGCUCCCAAACAGGGAGAGACAUGAAAUAUGUUCCUUGUUUUGUGAACUUACCCUGGGAUCCACUUUCGUAUUUUAAUUACUUGGUUUUAAAGUUUGCCUGUAUGUUACAAUAGACAGGAAAAGGAAAUUGGGCCUCGCUGAGCUAUUUUCAUCGGGGCAGGAAGAGGUGGGGGGAAGUGAGAAGACUGUUCGUUCUGGCCCGAAGUGUUAAUGUUUUCUGUGGGGGCCCCGGGGGGCAGGAAAGGACUGGCCACCCAGCAGGGUUUCUGGGAUGGAAGGCUGCCCGGAGGGAGGACAGUGUGAGGCUCCAGCCCCCAUCACCUGCCGUUUUCCUCUCCUCCUGCACCCACACAGCUGUUGAGGUUUGCUACUAGCUGGUGCCAUCAGCCCAGCAGACACCAGCCCGAGAGCCUCGGGGUCCCACAGAUACCACCACUGAACGCAUCCUCUCCCCAAAUCUGCUGUUGUCCCCACGUGAGGAGCGCCAGUGCCCAUCUGGAAACCCAUUCUUGGUGCUUCUCUUUUGUGUUCUGGAUCCAAUCCUCCACAACCUCCUGUGGGCUCACUUCCUAGCGGUGUUGUGACUCCAUCUGUAGUCACACUAACCUGGGCUCCACUCCCAGUUUACAACAGUGUGAUCCGGGGCACAUCAAUUUACUGUGGGCCUUGGUUUUCUCAUCCAUCAGAUGGGAGAUGAGUACUGACCUCACAGGCUUGCUGUGAGGACUAGAUGAGAGAAUGCGAGUGUUGGUGAGUAUCUGACUCCUAGAACAGCCUGUGCUCAGGCUCCUCCAGGCCAUCUCACCUCUCCCCUGAGAGUCCUCUUCAUCUCCCGCCCACAGAUGAGCUCACUCCCUCCAGUGCCCUCCCUCCAGUGAGGCUAGAGCGCUCGCUCCUGCCUUGGGCCUUGGCUGCCUCCGCUCUCAGGGCCCCCUGGCUCCCUGGGGUAGGGAAGGCAUGUUGUCCUCCGGACCCUGUGGGCCUCCCAAGCAUGUCUCCCAGUGCCCUCCCCUCACAAGGCACCUCUGGCAGGGUAAGGCACAGUGUGCUCCUAAGUGCUCCCUGCAGCCUGAACUACUGCUCCACGCAUGCCUCACACAGUGGAAAACGCUAGGUCCCGGAGCUCCUCCAUGGGACGAAGCUCCUGCUGGGCAGGGGCUGUGACUUCUUCACUGUUGCAGUCCAGAGCCCAGCACAACACCUGACCCACAGGAGGACCUGUUCAGUGGAUGAGGCCGACCAACUGUAGAGUGUGGCCGUGAGGUUGAGAGGCCACUCACAAGUGUCCAGGGUCAGCCUCAGGCCAGCCCAGGACAUGAAACCCUUUAAUGGCACGUGGAGUCAGCAGGACUCCGGAGCUGCGGCUGUUCAGUAGGAAAGACCAAAAGCAAAUGGUAAACAAGAGAGAAGACACACAUGCAUGCACAAAUAAAAACAGCAGCACCACCACCACCGCCACCACCAGCAAGCCACGGAACGCUGGGCCUGAGAGGCUGCCCAGAGAGCCGUCCUGACUCUGAAUUCACAGGAGUCCUCGGUACAAACUCCACCCUUCUAUUCUAUAGAAGUCUUAGCCAGGGCAGAACAUCGGUUACUUGUGGAAGACUCAAGAAUCAGAUCUGAAGUUUGCUCUCCUGGCCUCUUGGUAAGCUCUGUGGUGAGGGAGAUUCGGCAGCAAGUCGGGGGGGCCCUUCCCCUGGCAAGGACCCUGAGGGGCCCACGGCAAGGCCCUGCUGCUGCUUUCUCCUCAGCCUCAUUCCCACGGUGAGCCUGGCUGCGGAGAGUCAGUGUGGGUGCUGAGGGGCCUUCCAGAGCAGGUGCCGCCAUUUUGUCUGGCCUGGAGGU